UACGUAGGUGGCAAGCGUUGUCCGGAAUUAUUGGGCGUAAAGAGCAUGUAGGUGGGCCGUUAAGUCUGUUGUGAAAAUGCGGGGCUCAACCCCGUAUUGCGAUGGAAACUGACAGUCUUGAGUGCAGGAGAGGAAAGGGGAAUUCCCAGUGUAGCGGUGAAAUGCGUAGAUAUUGGGAGGAACACCAGUGGCGAAGGCGCCUUUCUGGACUGUGUCUGACACUGAGAUGCGAAAGCCAGGGUAGCGAACGGG
rnacentral:rRNA from 1 species